GCGGAGGAAAAGAAACUAACAAGGAUUCCCCUAGUAACUGCGAGUGAAGCGGGAAAAGCUCAAAUUUAAAAUCUGGCGGUCUCUGGCCGUCCGAGUUGUAAUCUAGAGAAGUGUUAUCCGCGCUGGACCGUGUACAAGUCUCCUGGAAUGGAGCGUCAUAGAGGGUGAGAAUCCCGUCUUUGACACGGACUGCCAGGGCUUUGUGAUGCGCUCUCAAAGAGUCGAGUUGUUUGGGAAUGCAGCUCAAAAUGGGUGGUAAAUUCCAUCUAAAGCUAAAUAUUGGCGAGAGACCGAUAGCGAACAAGUACCGUGAGGGAAAGAUGAAAAGAACUUUGGAAAGAGAGUUAAACAGUACGUGAAAUUGCUGAAAGGGAAACGCUUGAAGUCAGUCGCGUUGGCCGGGAAUCAACCUUGCUUUUGCUGGGCGUACUUUCCGGUUGACGGGUCAGCAUCAAUUUUGACCGUUGGAUAAAGUCCAGGGGAAUGUGGCAUCUUCGGAUGUGUUAUAGCCCUUGGUCGCAUACAACGGUUGGGAUUGAGGAACUCAGCACGCCGCAAGGCCGGGUACUUGUACCACGUUCGUGCUUAGGAUGCUGGCAUAAUGGCUUUAAUCGACCCGUCUUGAAACACGGACCAAGGAGUCUAACAUGCCUGCGAGUGUUUGGGUGGAAAACUCGGACGCGUAAUGAAAGUGAAAGUUGAGAUCCCUGUCGUGGGGAGCAUCGACGCCCGGACCAGACCUUUUGUGACGGAUCCGCGGUAGAGCAUGUAUGUUGGGACCCGAAAGAUGGUGAACUAUGCCUGAAUAGGGUGAAGCCAGAGGAAACUCUGGUGGAGGCUCGUAGCGAUUCUGACGUGCAAAUCGAUCGUCAAAUUUGGGUAUAGGGGCGAAAGACUAAU
rnacentral:rRNA from 1 species